AGAUAAAUUUAAAAAAAAAUUCCAUUUACUGUUGCACAAAAAGAAUAAAAUACCCAGUUGUAAAGUUAACCAAGGAGAUGAGAGACCCAUACUCUGAAAACUAUAAAACACUGAUGAAAGAAACUGAAGACAACACAAAUGGAAAUACAUUCUAUAUUCAUGA